AAUCUUUGAACGCGCAUUGCGCCCUCUGGUAUUCCGGAGGGCAUGCCUGUUUGAGCGUCGUU
rnacentral:rRNA from 1 species